UACGUAGGGGGCUAGCGUUGUCCGGAAUCAUUGGGCGUAAAGAGCGCGUAGGCGGCCUGGUAAGUCCGCUGUAAAAGUCAAAGGCUCAACCUUUGAAUGUCAGUGGAUACUGCCGGGCUAGAGUCCGGAAGAGGCGAGUGGAAUUCCUGGUGUAGCGGUGGAAUGCGUAGAUAUCGGGAGGAACACCAGUGGCGAAGGCGGCUUUCUGGCCCGUUCUUGACGCUGAGGCGCGAAAGCUAGGGUAGCAAACGGG
rnacentral:rRNA from 1 species